rnacentral:rRNA from 1 species
AUUGAACGCUGGCGGCAUGCCUUACACAUGCAAGUCGAACGGCAGCACGGGUGCUUGCACCUGGUGGCGAGUGGCGAACGGGUGAGUAAUACAUCGGAACAUGUCCUGUAGUGGGGGAUAGCCCGGCGAAAGCCGGAUUAAUACCGCAUACGAUCUACGGAUGAAAGCGGGGGACCUUCGGGCCUCGCGCUAUAGGGUUGGCCGAUGGCUGAUUAGCUAGUUGGUGGGGUAAAGGCCUACCAAGGCGACGAUCAGUAGCUGGUCUGAGAGGACGACCAGCCACACUGGGACUGAGACACGGCCCAGACUCCUACGGGAGGCAGCAGUGGGGAAUUUUGGACAAUGGGCGAAAGCCUGAUCCAGAAUGCCGCGUGUGUGAAGAAGGCCUUCGGGUUGUAAAGCACUUUUGUCCGGAAAGAAAUCCUUGGCCCUAAUACGGUCGGGGGAUGACGGUACCGGAAGAAUAAGCACCGGCUAACUACGUG